GUGCCAUAUGAUCCUUGUAGGUCGAUACUGUACUGUGUAUAACACUAUAUAACAUCAUGUACAUAUAGUGGAAAUUUACGUAAUAGGUAGAGAUAACUGAUAACAUUACAUUAGUGAAUAGUGUAGAUUAGGUUUAUGUAACAAUUGUAUAUAGAAUGUCGUCAAUGAGGUGGAUGAUAAGUGGCGGCGCGGCGGCGGCUGCCAGCCCCAGUCGCCUGUGGUCGGGUGUCGCGAGAAGGUUGGACUCCGGCGAGCCGUGUCUGCUAUAUUGUAAUAGGCCCUCUAACACACGCACCAUGGCAUCUAAAGCGGUUACGAUGGAUAAUAUAAAUCCCAACAUGGUGAAGUUAGAGUACGCGGUCCGCGGCCCUUUGGUUAUUCGCGCCACUGAAAUAGAAAAGGAACUUGAAAAGGGAGCCAAGAAGCCAUUCAAGAUGGUGAUCA